rnacentral:rRNA from 1 species
UACGUAGGGUGCGAGCGUUGUCCGGAAUCAUUGGGCGUAAAGCGCGUGUAGGCGGCCAGGUAAGUCCGUUCUGAAAGCCCGGGGCUCAACCCCGGGAGGCGGAUGGAUACUGCUUGGCUCGAGUCCGGAAGAGGUGAGUGGAAUUCCCGGUGUAGCGGUGAAAUGCGCAGAUAUCGGGAGGAACACCAAUGGCGAAGGCAGCUCACUGGGACGGUACUGACGCUGAGACGCGAAAGCGUGGGGAGCAAACAGG